ensembl:piRNA 21ur-12537 ncRNA
UAAAUUUACUUUAUGACGAUU